AACGAACGCUGGCGGCAUGCCUAACACAUGCAAGUCGAACGAGACCUUCGGGUCUAGUGGCGCACGGGUGCGUAACGCGUGGGAACCUGCCCUUAGGUUCGGAAUAACUCCCCGAAAGGGGUGCUAAUACCGGAUAUUGUCUUCGGACCAAAGAUUUAUCGCCUUUGGAUGGGCCCGCGUUGGAUUAGCUAGUUGGUAGGGUAAAAGCCUACCAAGGCGACGAUCCAUAGCUGGUCUGAGAGGAUGAUCAGCCACACUGGGACUGAGACACGGCCCAGACUCCUACGGGAGGCAGCAGUGGGGAAUAUUGGACAAUGGGCGAAAGCCUGAUCCAGCAAUGCCGCGUGAGUGAUGAAGGCCUUAGGGUUGUAAAGCUCUUUUACCCGGGAUGAUAAUGACAGUACCGGGAGAAUAAGCUCCGGCUAACUCCAUG
rnacentral:rRNA from 1 species